AACGAACGCUGGCGGCAGGCCUAACACAUGCAAGUCGAGCGCACCCUUCGGGGUGAGCGGCGGACGGGUGAGUAACGCGUGGGAACGUGCCCUUCUCUGCGGAAUAGCCUCGGGAAACUGAGAGUAAUACCGCAUACGCCCUUUGGGGGAAAGAGUUAUCGGGGAAGGAUCGGCCCGCGUUGGAUUAGGUAGUUGGUGGGGUAAUGGCCCACCAAGCCGACGAUCCAUAGCUGGUUUGAGAGGAUGAUCAGCCACACUGGGACUGAGACACGGACCAGACUCCUACGGGAGGGAGCAGUGGGGAAUCUUAGACGAUGGGGGCAACCCUGAUCUAGCCAUGCCGCGUGAGUGAUGAAGGCCUUAGGGUUGUAAAGCUCUUUCAGCUGGGAAGAUAAUGACGGUACCAGCAGAAGAAGCCCCGGCUAACUCCGUG
rnacentral:rRNA from 1 species